ACGACUGCGGACCCCCGCUGCGUCGCUGCUCACACAUGGGCGAUUACUGCAGCCCUCCCACUGCUAAAACUGGGUGCUCUCCUCACAAAGCGGCACCAGCUUCCCUCCCCUUCUCCUUUUAACGUGAUUGACUUUCAGGAUGGCGAUGGUGCAUUAGUCCACAAAGGAAACUCGGCUGAACUGAAGACUCAAAGGAAGUUUCCUUGAAUGAGGCUUGAUGUGGUCUCCUGUGGCACGAACGGCGCUGAAGGAGCUGCAGAGUUAAACUUGUUCACGAGGGGGAACGCGGCUGCGUGGUUUUUUUUUUACAUGUUUGAUGUCGCACAACAGAAGCGCACAGAGCCCGGAAGCGCUGCGCCUGUGAACCAGCAACACAGCGCAGCUCCAAACUCAGAGUGCCGCGUCAGCGUUCGGCAUUGCUGACUUUCCCUCCUUUUUCGCUUUCCCUCUCAUGCCAGUCAAAACAAAAACAUCCAGGCAGAGAAAAUGGCAGCGAAAGCAUCAGGAGCCGGAACCUGUGGGGAAAACGGGGACGAUGAGGAUGAGUGAACGACGACCCGGCCGCCGUCGAGCCUUCGAGCUUCGAUCGCUCGCUUGAUUGCAACCUCAAACACUCGAGGCGACAAUUGAUUAUGUCUGUUUUCCUCGCGGCACUCGAGAAAGCACUUGAACGCAGCAGAGACGAGCGUUCGGGUUGGCGGCGACGCCGGCGCGUCGGCUGUUGUUGCUGGUUCGAGUGCGGAAACCCAAGCGUGACCAGCAAUCAGUGCGCAAUCAGCAAUUUUAGCCUCACAAUGCGGCUGGUUGAAUGUGAAUCACUUACAGAAUUACCAUAAAGCUUACAAGCCUUUAUUAUUGAUUACUAUAUCAAAUUACAGUGUACUGAAUGAGUCAGUAACCUUUUUUAUUAUUAUUAUUUUUGCUUCACUGCACCAGAAAAAAAGUGCACAAGCUGUUAUUGUGCGUGAGGUCGGAUACACUGGUUUGCCAUUUUAUCUAGCAGACACUGGGCUUUUAUUAAAUCAGGGUCCUCUGUCACAGAUAUGAUGGAUGCCGUUACCGAAGCACAGCUGUAUUAAAAAAAGUCCAUAAAACCUCA